CAGCGAGGCGGCAGGCUCCCUGGGAGUUUGGGGAGUGUGUCCUAGGAGAACCAGAAGUGGUCUCUGUGAAUGCUGCCAUGUUAUCAUGCUUCUUCGUGGGAAUGAAAUGAGCUAAGGAAUGAGCUUCGAGAAAAGUACAAAUUCCCUUAGUAAUGCAGGAUAUUUGAGCUGAAGAAUAUCAGGUUUGUCAUGAUGGACAUCGGGGACCGGGGCCAGUUCCUAAACUCGGGGCAAACCGCGAUCAACGCUGUAGGGAUGGUUCAAGAGAAGACUGUCCCAGAAGCUCCUGGAGCAGAAGCAGAGCAGGCUGGCUGGCAUCCAUCACUCUGAAUCCCCAGUCCUCCCAGGUGAAGCAUUUCCAACGAGGACGCUUCCAUUCUCCUCACAGGAGAGGAUUAUUAACUGAGAGGAAGAGAGAGGGAGAGAAAGAUAGAAACAUCAAUGAUGGGAGAGAAUCAUUGAUAUCAGCAAUAACCAGUUCGAUCCCUAAAUCCUAACAGUCCCAUCUGAGUGCAUGAGUGUUAUCUUCCCGUCGGCUUGGCAUGGUCUGAGUUCCUUCUCAAAUCAGUGAGCACCUACCAUCCUGGGCUGGCGCGAUCCCUCUCUGUACCUAUGUGAAGAUCAGACUCUCUGUGAAGAUCAGUGAUGACCAAUGCAUGAGACAUGGGCAACCCAGGAAGUCAACGGCCCAGCAAAAAGCAUCAGGUGUUUAUGGGUGAUAAACACAGGGGCCAAACGGGUGGGACCAGCCUCCCAGACCAGGAAACGGAGGAGAAAAUGGAAUCUGAGCUGGUGCUGGGAGGAGCCUGGGCAUGGGUGGUGUUGGCAGCCCUGGCAGGGAAGGGCGUGUUUCCCGGGGAGCCUGUGCCCUACUUGUCUGCCGCACUUUACCAAACCACAAAGCCCUGCUCGGCACUCCCCUGCCAAGGCUGAUCGCAAUCCGCCCUGCUAUCGGCGUUGUCAUCUCUACAGAGACACAGAGUCAGGGCCGUGCAUCGACGGGGCCUAAUCUCAUCCUGCCUUUUCCCAAAGCCGUGCCAUCUGGCCAUCUGGGUGCCGACAGUGCCAGCCUGCAUCCCCGUUCACUUCCUUCUCCCCUUCUCCCUCAGCUGCCCCUCUGACCCCAACCCAAACCUUCCACCCACUGGCACCUUAUCUUUCACGGCUGGGAGGUGAAUAUUCAGGAGGACAGAACCCACGGAGGCAAAGAUCUAACCCUGACCUGCCCUGUAACCUCCAUGGCUGUGUCACCCAGCCAGACUGUCGCUGUGUCCGGGGCCUGGACCCACAGGGGGCUCAGAGAGGCGGCUGCCAGAGGGAGCUGUGAGGGCGAUGAUGGGAAACUGGCAUCAGCUUGGGAAAAGAGGGUUUUACCUUCAGCACCUGCCAACCUGACAGGUUUGCCAAGAUUUCACAUUUGCUAAGGAUUCUACAUUAAACACACACACACACCCCUGCCUCAGCCCUCCUCCCAAAUGGACGAAACUUACUGGGUGAGGAGCCAGCGCCCAGGAAGGGGACGACAUGGCUCAGGAACCUUUUGUUUCCAGGGCGUUAUCUGUCCUCAUCUCCGCCACACGACCUGAAACACCUCCCUCACAUUCAAGGUUCCGUCCCAGAGCCAGAGAGGUGAGCCUUGACUUUGACCUAUGAGAUUUGUGCUGUUGUUUUUCACACACAAGGCGAUUAUACAACUUUUGAAUACAGAGGUGUAUUUUUUAAAAAUUCUUGGGUCCAGCCGGUGGCUCAGUGGUUGAGCAUCAACCUGUAA